rnacentral:lncRNA from 1 species
GGGGUGGGGCUCUGCGAGUGGGCGGGGCUUCGUGACGCAAGCCUCUGAUUGGCUGCAGGCCGGUGGAGGCGGAGCCAGAGCUGGAGGCGGCUGUUGCCAUGGGAGCGGAACCGGAAGUGCUGGUGAGUGGGCGGGGCCUGGCUUCCUAUUGGCUGCCGGCCCUGGGAGUGGGGCUUCCCAUUGGCUGACGUCGAGGCCCCACCCCUCCCAGGUGGCGACACGCGCCCUCUGCAGGAUGCGGGAGGAAGCGCUGAUGGCGCUGCUGGAGCCACGCCCACUUCCGGAGACGCGGCAGCUGAUGGCCGCCUCCAACAAGCGCUGGCUGCAGGCGGCCCAGGUGAGGCGUUGACACUCUGUGACGUCACUUCCUGUCCCGGGUGAUGUCACUUCCUGUCACCCAGGUCGCUUCCUGUUCUGUUUGUGACAUCAUUUCCUGUUUGCUUAGGACGCCACUUCCUGCCACACUUUCCUGCUCUUUCAGGUCACUUCUUGUUGCCAUGUGACAUCAUUUCCUGUUUGAUUUGUGAUGUCAUAUCUAGUCCUACUUGUGAUGUCACUUCCUGUCGCAUUGUGAUGUCACAUCUUGUCCACCUUCUGCAGGCACUUCCUGCCACCCUUGUGGCACUUCCUGCUUUUCUCCUUGUGACAUCGCUUCCUAUCCCAUUUCUGACUCCGCUUCCUGUCCUC